rnacentral:rRNA from 1 species
UAUCUCUGUAGAGUCUGCAUAUCAAUAAGCGGAGGAAAAGAAACUAACAAGGAUUCCCUUAGUAACGGCGAGUGAAGCGGGAAGAGCUCAAAUUUGAAAUCUUCAAGGUUCUACCUUGACGAAUUGUAGUUCAAAGAAGUGUUUUCUGUUAGAUGAGUAGCAAAAGUUCCUUGGAGUGGGACAUCAUAGAGGGUGAGAAUCCCGUAUUUGGUUAUUCAUUCUAGCUUUGUGAUACACUUUCAAAGAGUCGGAUUGUUUGGGAAUGCAGUCCAAAAUGGGUGGUAAAUUUCAUCUAAAGCUAAAUAUUGGCGAGAGACCGAUAGCGAACAAGUACCGUGAGGGAAAGAUGAAAAGAACUUUGAAAAGAGAGUUAAACAGUACGUGAAAUUGUCAAAAGGGAAGCGUUUGACACCAGUGUUGUUUUUCCGAAAAUCAAUUACGAAUGGCUUGAUUUUGUGUUGUAUUGACCUUAUCAGCUUUCUUCACUUUUUUCGAGUCUUUCUUAAUGCACUUUUUGGUUAACAAGUCAACAUCAAUUUCUUUUGUUGUAAAAGAGUAUUCGGAAGGUGGCUUUCUUUUCGGAGAAAGUGUUUAUAGCCCUAUACUUCUGCAAUCGGAGAGAUUGAGGUCUGCAGCGUAGAUCCUUCGGGGUUAGAUACACUUGUGCUAAGUUGUAGCUUUUCAUAGACAACUUGUUGACUAUGUUUAGUCAUGCGGCUUACUCGCUUGUGCUAUUUUACCUACGCUUAGGAUGUUGACUGAUAUGUAGUCGU